GACGAACGCUGGCGGCGUGCUUAACACAUGCAAGUCGAACGGAAAGGCCCUGCUUUUGUGGGGUGCUCGAGUGGCGAACGGGUGAGUAACACGUGAGUAACCUGCCCUUGACUUUGGGAUAACUUCAGGGAACUGGGGCUAAUACCGGAUAGGAGCUCCUGCUGCAUGGUGGGGGUUGGAAAGUUUCGGCGGUUGGGGAUGGACUCGCGGCUUAUCAGCUUGUUGGUGGGGUAGUGGCUUACCAAGGCUUUGACGGGUAGCCGGCCUGAGAGGGUGACCGGCCACAUUGGGACUGAGAUACGGCCCAGACUCCUACGGGAGGCAGCAGUGGGGAAUAUUGCACAAUGGGCGGAAGCCUGAUGCAGCAACGCCGCGUGCGGGAUGACGGCCUUCGGGUUGUAAACCGCCUUCGCCUGUGACGAAGCGUGAGUGACGGUAAUGGGUAAAGAAGCACCGGCUAACUACGUG
rnacentral:rRNA from 1 species